GCGAGGCGCACGGACACGCCGUGGCACACACCACUGGCACACGGCGCAGCCACGGCACAGCGCUCAGACAGGCGGUCGAGGCAAGCGGAGGGUCUGUGAGGCCCGCGUUCUAUUCUCGGCCUUUGUGCGGCCUCCUCCAACGACUGCACGGCGCUGCACGGCGCUGCACCGGCCUGGCCUGCACGCCACGGCCUCGGCCUCCACGGCGAGAUGACGGCGAGACGAGCGUCUCCAGCGGCCACCAGCAUCCGAGGGUAGGUGCAGUCGGAGCUCGCGAUGCCGCCCGCGCCUUGAGCACCGCCCGGCACUGCCCCGGCACUGCCCCGGCAGGGCUCCAUGGGUGCAGCGGAUGACGCGGCGGCCGGAACAUUCCUCUGG